rnacentral:rRNA from 1 species
UACAGGGGGGGCAAACGUUGCUCGGAAUUAUUGGGCGUAAAGCGCGCGUAGGCGGCCACUUAAGUCGGAUGUGAAAGCCCCAGGCUCAACUGGGGAAGUGCACCCGAAACUGAAUGGCUUGAAUGCAAAAGAGGGUCGCGGAAUUCCCGGUGUAGAGGUGAAAUUCGUAGAUAUCGGGAAGAACACCAGUGGCGAAGGCGGCUAUCUGGACGGUUUCUGACGCUAAGACGCGAAAGCGUGGGGAGCAAACAGG